CUGGCCGCGUGCUUACCAUGCAGUCGAACGGAGAUUCAGCAAUGGAUCUUAGUGGCGAACGGGUGAGUAACGCGUAGGCAAUCUGCCUUCUAGAUGGGGACAACAUCCCGAAAGGGGUGCUAAUACCGAAUGUUGUACCGUUUCCGCAUGGAGAUGAUACUAAAGGUGGCCUCUGAAUAUGCUACCGCUAGAAGAUGAGCCUGCGUCUGAUUAGCUAGUUGGAGGGGUAACGGCCCACCAAGGCUUCGAUCAGUAGCCGGUCUGAGAGGAUGAACGGCCACACUGGGACUGAGACACGGCCCAGACUCCUACGGGAGGCAGCAGUGGGGAAUCUUCCGCAAUGGACGAAAGUCUGACGGAGCAACGCCGCGUGAGUGAAGAAGGUUUUCGGAUCGUAAAGCUCUUUCGUUAGGGACGAACGUGCUCUUUGUGAAUAAUGAGGAGUAAUGACGGUACCUAAAUAAGAAGCCACGGCUAACUACGUGCCAGCAGCCGCGGUAAUACGUAGGUGGCAAGCGUUGUCCGGAAUUAUUGGGCGUAAAGCGCGCGCAGGCGGGAUAUCAAGUCUGUCUUAAAAGUGCGAGGCUCAACCUCGUGAGGGGACGGAAACUGGUAUUCUUGAGUGUCGGAGAGGAAAGUGGAAUUCCAAGUGUAGCGGUGAAAUGCGUAGAGAUUUGGAAGAACACCAGUGGCGAAGGCGACUUUCUGGGACGAUGUCUGACGCUGAGGCGCGAAAGCUAGGGGAGCGAACGGGAUUAGAUACCCCGGUAGUCCUAGCCGUAAACGAUGGGUACUAAGGGGUGUAGGGGGGUAUCGACCC
rnacentral:rRNA from 1 species